GAUUCAACGUGCUACCAUGUUGGCGGAUCAUGAGGUGGAGUGGAUCUGGUGGGUCGAUUCAGAUGCAAUCUUCACAGACAUGGAGUUCAAGCUCCUACUAGAGAGAUAUAAAGACCAUAACCUAGUUGUGCAUGGCUGGUGGCAUCUGAUAUACAAAGAGCAAAGCUGGACAUGUCUCAAUGUGGGGGUGUUCCUGAUACGAAACUGCCAGUGGUCCAUGAACCUCAUAGAUGCAUGAACCAGCAUGGGGCCACAGAGCCCAGAUUAUGGAAGAUGGGACCGAAUCCAAAAGUCAAUGUUCAAAGACAAGUUAUUUCCGCAGUCAGACAAUCAAUUGGCUCCAAUUUAUCUUCUAAUAGAAUAGAAAGAAAAGCGGGCAGACAAGACUUAUUUACAGAAUGAGUACAGCCUCCAUGGGUACUGGUUGGGAACAGUGGAUGGUCUUGACAACAUCACCAAAAGGUACAUGGAGAUCGAUAGAGAGGUGGUAAUGUUGAGGAGGAGACACGCAUAGAAGGUGAGCUUGUUCUAUGGAACGAUCAGAUAGCAAUAUCUGAAGAACAAGGGCUAAUGGAAGGAUAAACUCAGAAGGCCUUUGUCACGUACUUCACAUAAACUCAGAAGGCCCUUUGUCACGCACUUCAC